CCCGCCCGAGUAUUAGUAGGCGAGGAGCGUCGGGGCUUCCCAGCCAGUCGCUUCUCCCGGGAAUUAGAACGAACUCUAGUGGCGGUUUCUGACUCGGUUCUGAGCUUGAGGGCAGCAACAGGUGGCGGUGUACGGCAGAGUGGCCGCGGCGAGGACGCGUUCUGGAGUGGGGACAGCUGGCCUUGGGGCCUGACCGCAUAGUCAACAUACUGGGUCAUUCUACUGCUACACAGCCCCAACCCCUUUGAAAACAGAGCUGUUGGUGAGGGUCAAGUAGAAUUCUGCUCCUGGGAAAUUAUCUUACGGAAAGAAAUCAAAAGAGAAGAAUAUAUGCUAUUCAUUGCAGCCUUAUUUGUCACAGCAAAAACAAGGGAACAAACACAAACAACUGCACAAAAGAACCAAACAGCAUACGAAAAACCCUGAAACCCUCAAGUCAACUGGGAAGCUAUGACAUGUCAUCAACUGGAUGGAAAAUUGCGUAGCCACUGACAUGCACAAUUCUAAAAAGUGUGUAGCUACAUGGAAAAGUGCUUGAGCAUCGUUCCAUGGAAAGAGCUACAUAGAAUGGUAUCUGCUCCGAAGCACAAUCACCUAUAAGUGUGAGGACGGCCUGAAAGGAAACAUGGAAAUGUGAAGAGCCAACCUAUUAAGAUGAUGGGAUUUUGAAUCAAUAAAAUUCUUUUUUACUUCUUCAAGUUUACUGAGUUAUAAAUGACAUACACUAAAUUAUGCCUAUGUAAAAUAUGCUGUUUGUUUUUGACAUACGUAUGCACGUGCAAAACCAUGACCAAAAUCAAGAUAAUAUAUCCAUCAUUCUAAAAAGUUUUUGUGUGCUUUGACAAUG